rnacentral:rRNA from 1 species
UACGGGAGGCAGCAGUGAGGAAUAUUGGUCAAUGGACGCAAGUCUGAACCAGCCAAGUAGCGUGCAGGAAGACGGCCCUCUGGGUUGUAAACUGCUUUUAGUUGGGAAUAAAGUGCACCACGUGUGGUGUUUUGUAUGUACCAUCAGAAAAAGGACCGGCUAAUUCCGUGCCAGCAGCCGCGGUAAUACGGAAGGUCCAGGCGUUAUCCGGAUUUAUUGGGUUUAAAGGGAGCGCAGGCGGACCUUUAAGUCAGCUGUGAAAUACGGCGGCUCAACCGUCGAACUGCAGUUGAUACUGGAGGUCUUGAGUGCACACAGGGAUACUGGAAUUCAUGGUGUAGCGGUGAAAUGCUCAGAUAUCAUGAAGAACUCCGAUCGCGAAGGCAGGUAUCCGGGGUGCAACUGACGCUGAGGCUCGAAAGUGCGGGUAUCAAACAGGAUUAGAUACCCUGGUAGUCCGCACAGUAAACGAUGAAUACUCGCGAUUUGCGAUACACAGUAAGUCGCCAAGCGAAAGCGUUAAGUAUUCCACCUGGGGAGUACGCCGGCAACGGUGAAACUCAAAGGAAUUGACGGGGGCCCGCACAAGCGGAGGAACAUGUGGUUUAAUUCGAUGAUACGCGAGGAACCUUACCCGGGCUUGAAUUGCAGAGGAAGGAUUUGGAGACAAUGACGCCCUUCGGGGUCUCUGUGAAGGUGCUGCAUGGUUGUCGUCAGCUCGUGCCGUGAGGUGUCGGCUUAAGUGCCAUAACGAGCGCAACCCCUCUCCUUAGUUGCCAUCAGGUUAAGCUGGGCACUCUGGGGACACUGCCACCGUAAGGUGUGAGGAAGGUGGGGAUGACG